rnacentral:tRNA from 1 species
GGUGGUGUGGGCGGCGGACGGCCGCAGCGCGCUGACGCUGCUCACGGAGGCGCAGCGCAGUGCGACCCGCGAUCCGUACGCGGCGCUGCUGC